rnacentral:lncRNA from 1 species
UAGAGGCCAAAUAAGAUGGGUACUUGCAUUAGUUGCAAAUGAGUAAGUGUACUCUCUCAUUAUUAUUGUUGCUAGCCAAAUAUCGUAUCAUCGUGAGGUGGGCUUGGUAAUAGUGAGCCUCCCAUAACCUACUAGGAGUUUCAUCCAAAACUCUCGAAUUCCUUUGAGGGAUAUGGAAUUUGCCAAAAAAUAGUGGGUGGUGCUAUUUGAUUUAAAGACCCGGAUCAAAUGGCUUAAAAAUCAAUCAAUUUAUAUUCGUUAUGUAUUUGUUUACCAAUAUAUUUGCAAACGCUAUCCAACACUUGACAAAUAAAACCGAAUGUUUUAGUUUCCGGACUUGGUACCACAAUCCCAAAGAAUGUCUUAAAAAGGAUUGCAUAUGUA